AAUCCUCAUGUUAUGGGAAACCCUUGGCAAAGUUGUAUAUAGGCCUCGAUUUCUAUGAAAUUUCCAUGACAUUUUCCCCCUUAUGGAAACCAAGGUGGAUCAACAGCAUCAUUUUUGUCUUGCUCUUAAGCAAGACACCCACAUGUUGCCUCCCUUGGGAGAGGCAGUUUCACACACAUAGUCCUUAGAUUCCCCUCUUGGCCAUGUAUGAAUGUGCCCGGGCCUGGAACACUUCUUUGCCAAGAGGAUUCUUUCUAAGCCCUUACUCACAGCCCGUGCUGACUUGCUACUGUGGGCGGGGAGAGCACUCCCUGCUUCAGACUCAGUGUGUACGCUUUUGUUCUGUUUAAGCGUGUGUGUCACAUGGUGCCUGGCCGAACUCAGUACUCUCUCUGUCCCCUGCUAGAUAGACAGCAGAGGACAGGAGGGGCCCUCUGGCCAUGGGGAACCAAUACCCACUACUGACUGAUCUUGCUCUGUCUCUUCGCUCUGUGAGUAAAGCGUGGUUCCAUCCAGCGCCUGACUUUUGAGUUUUCUUUGGUGACUCUGAUACUAAGAUACAGCAGACAGAAGUACUCCAGCUUCCUUUGGUAACAGGCAGAAUGUCAGUUGCUCGAUACGUUCCUGGAUAGGUUAUAGAUCUGCAACAGGGGGAGACUAUAUAAUGUUUGCAAAUUUCCUGACGUCCUCUUUGUCUGAAUGUCAGGCUACUUGCUUUGUAAGUGUAUUAAUAAAAGCUUUCAGAGUCCUAAAUAAAAUGAGAGCUAUGACUGAAGCUUCCCCUAGGCUGAUAAUUUCUGCCCUAAGUUUUUAAACGGGUCAGCAACUCUUCUUUGGCUGGCAAUCUGUCAGAUGUUAGAGAAGCUGGUUGCAAAGUACAGGCACCCCUUCUGCCCUCUGGCCCUCACCACCAAAAAAGCAACACUGGUUUGGAGCCCAAAGCUGCCUGGCUAUUGAAGAAUCCCACCUUCAGUCAGAGGGCGGGGAGGGAGAGUGGGUCUGUCUGGAUCUGGCUUUCGGUUUGCCUCUUGGUGGGAAUAAAAUGGCAGGUCAACUCCUGGUAUCGUGAACUGUUCAACCAAAAAAUAAGGAACUGAAGGAAGGCUGGGACCAGUAUGAAAAGGAAUCACAAAGUUUUUCAGACUCUGUGAUUGCACUAUUACUAAGCAGCUUAACGAACCCACAGGGGCACAAGGUGAGGAGACCUCGGAGCAGGAGACAGGGGCUAGAUUAAGCAGGGCCUCCAGGCCAAGCUGAGCGGGUUGGCUUUUCCUUUAAGUGAAACGGGGAACUUUGGAAGGUUUCCAUCACGAGAAUGAUUGGAUCUGAUGGAAACGUUUACGAGUUACUCUGCUGCAUGAUAGCGGAUUAUGGGGCGGGGGCGAGAAGGCAAUUGCAGGGCUAUUGCAAUAAUGCAAGAGGAGAUGACCGUAUCUUGGGCUAGAAUGGUGGUGGAGGAGAUGGAGAAAAGUAGGUGGAUUCAGAAUGUACUCUGGAGACGAGGCCAGCAGCAUUGCUGGAGGGUUAGCUGGGGCCAGGAGAGAAGAAUGAAGGACGACUCCUUGUUUGUUGGUGAGAGCAGAUGGAUGAGUGGAGACAGAAUUUUCUGAGGGAAAACAGAGUAGGAACAUGCUUUAGGAGAAAAAUAUUUUUAGCUACAUCAAGGCUAGGUUGUCUGUUAAACAUCAAAGGAGAGAUAUCCAGUAGUGAGGUGGGUCUACCGGUGUAUAGCACAUGGGAGCAGCAAUCAACACAUCGUUCAACAUGGAUGUCACUACUGGCCAUAUGGAAGGACGUGCAGAGAAGCUCGAAGGAAGUGCUUGAGGAGAGAAUGGAAUGUGGAGCUUGGUGGGCAUAGAGAAUAGGUAGCUCUUUCUAGUUUUACAGUGGAAGGGAUGAGAGUGCAUCCUGGAAGAGAUGUGACGGUCAAGAGGGAUUGAUUUUUUUUUUUUCAGCUGGGGUCUCACUCUGUUGCCCAGGCUGGAGUGCAGUAGCAUGAUCUUGGCUCACUGCAACGUCCACUUCCCAGGCUCAAGCGAUCCCCCAGAGGGAAUGUGCUCUCUUCCAGGGUCCACAAGGGGGCGCAGUUUUACGGAGUGUGGGGCCGUGUUAUGACUGGAGAGGCCAGGGAGAAAGGUGUUCGAGACUUCAGAACAGGAAGAGUGAAAUCACUUUCUUGCAGAGGAUUUGAAAAAGAAUUUGCUGUGGAAAUAAAUUAAGUUUUCCCAAUAGCACUGACGGCUCAGUUUCGAUUCAUGGUAUGAUUCAAAAGCGGGUGUUUUU